AGAGUUUGAUCAUGGCUCAGGACGAACGCUGGCGGCGUGCGUAAAACAUGCAAGUCGCACGGUGCUUCGGCACAGUGGCAGACGGCUGAGUAACGCGUAGGAAUCUACCUCCUGGUGGGGAAUAACGGCCCGAAAGGGUCGCUAAUACCGCAUACGACCCCGGGGCAACUCGGGAGGAAAGCCUUUGGCGCCGGGAGAGGAGCCUGCGUCCGAUUAGCUGGUUGGUGGGGUAACGGCCUACCAAGGCGAUGAUCGGUAGCUGGUCUGAGAGGAUGACCAGCCAGACUGGGACUGGGACACGGCCCAGACUCCUACGGGAGGCAGCAGUUAGGAAUUUUGGGCAAUGGCCGCAAGGCUGACCCAGCAACGCCGCGUGGGGGACGAAGGCCUUCGGGUUGUAAACCCCUUUUCCGGGGGACGAUGAUGACGGUACCCCGGGAAUAAGCCCCGGCUAACUACGUGCCAGCAGCCGCGGUAAUAC
rnacentral:rRNA from 1 species